GAGUUUGAUCGUGGCUCAGAUUGAACGCUGGCGGCAUGCCUUACACAUGCAAGUCGAACGGCAGCAUGAUCUAGCUUGCUAGAUUGAUGGCGAGUGGCGAACGGGUGAGUAAUACAUCGGAACGUGGCCUGUAGUGGGGGAUAACUAGUCGAAAGAUUAGCUAAUACCGCAUACGACCUGAGGGUGAAAGUGGGGGGACCGCAAGGCCUCAUGCUAUAGGAGCGGCCGAUGUCUGAUUAGCUAGUUGGUGGGGUAAAGGCCCACCAAGGCGACGAUCAGUAGCUGGUCUGAGAGGACGAUCAGCCACACUGGGACUGAGACACGGCCCAGACUCCUACGGGAGGCAGCAGUGGGGAAUUUUGGACAAUGGGGGCAACCCUGAUCCAGCAAUGCCGCGUGUGUGAAGAAGGCCU
rnacentral:rRNA from 1 species